UACGGGAGGCAGCAGUGGGGAAUUUUGUGCAAUGGGGGAAACCCUGACACAGCGACACCGCGUGGAUGAAGAAGCCCUUUGGGGUGUAAAAUCCUGUCGGCUGGAACGAAACAAAUGACGGUACCAGCAGAGGAAGCAUCGGCUAACUACGUGCCAGCAGCCGCGGUAGAGUAGGAUGCAAGCGUUGUCCGGAUUUAUUGGGCGUAAAGAGUUCGUAGGCGGUUUGUUAAGUCUGAUGUUAAAGAUCGGGGCCCAACCCUGGGAGUGCAUUGGAUACUGGCAGACUGGAGUGUGGUAGAGGUUAGUGGAAUUCCCAGUGUAGCGGUGAAAUGCGUAGAUAUUGGGAAGAACACCAGUGGCGUAGGCGACUAACUGGGCCAUAACUGACGCUGAGGAACGAAAGCCAGGGGAGCGAAUGGGAUUAGAUACCCCAGUAGUCCUGGCCGUAAACGAUGGAUACUAGGCGUAGUGGGUAUCGACCCCUACUGUGCCGUAGCUAACGCGAUAAGUAUCCCGCCUGAGUAGUACGGCCGCAAGGUUGAAACUCAAAUGAAUUGACGGAAGGGC
rnacentral:rRNA from 1 species